rnacentral:rRNA from 1 species
GUGGAUUAGAUACCCUGGUAGUCCACGCCGUAAACGGUGGGUACUAGGUGUGGGUUCCUUUUCACGGGAUCCGUGCCGUAGCUAACGCAUUAAGUACCCCGCCUGGGGAGUACGGCCGCAAGGCUAAAACUCAAAGGAAUUGACGGGGGCCCGCACAAGCGGCGGAGCAUGUGGAUUAAUUCGAUGCAACGCGAAGAACCUUACCUGGGUUUGACAUACACCAGACGCAGUCAGAGAUGGCUGUUCCCUUGUGGUUGGUGUACAGGUGGUGCACGGUUGUCGCAAACU